GGAAUAUUGGACAAUGGGCGCAAGCCUGAUCCAGCCAUGCCGCGUGCAGGAUGACGGUCCUAUGGAUUGUAAACUGCUUUUGUACAGGAAGAAACACUGGUUCGUGAACCAGCUUGACGGUACUGUAAGAAUAAGGAUCGGCUAACUCCGUGCCAGCAGCCGCGGUAAUACGGAGGAUCCAAGCGUUAUCCGGAAUCAUUGGGUUUAAAGGGUCCGUAGGCGGUUUAAUAAGUCAGUGGUGAAAGCCCAUCGCUCAACGGUGGAACGGCCAUUGAUACUGUUAGACUUGAAUUAUUAGGAAGUAACUAGAAUAUGUAGUGUAGCGGUGAAAUGCUUAGAGAUUACAUGGAAUACCAAUUGCGAAGGCAGGUUACUACUAAUGGAUUGACGCUGAUGGACGAAAGCGUGGGUAGCGAACAGGAUUAGAUACCCUUG
rnacentral:rRNA from 1 species